rnacentral:lncRNA from 1 species
CCCAAAAUAUCGAUUCUCCUUCAAUUGUUCUUCGCCGAUUCAUCAUUCUCAAUGACCAGGUAUGUACUUAUAUGAUUAUUUAUUGUAAUGUUUAAUCUAUUGUAUCUUCUAUCAUCUCGAUUCACUGAUAUCGUUGGAGAGUGAAACGUGGGUGCUAGGGUUACGCCGUGAACCCUUGAUGACGACAGAAUUGCAUGCUACAGAACAGACAAUCAAAGGAUUGUGCUCUGAUGAAGUAACUGGCAUACAGCUGACAACAAGGUUCGUUUGAUUUGCUGAGUUUCAAGUCCCGUUCGUUCUCUUCUUCGUCAUCGUGAUCAUUAUCAUCAAAGAUUUGGUUGAAGGUGGGUGUUCCACCAGACUCUCAUUUUGUAGCGGACAUGUUUGGCAACCAACGCGGUAAUCGAGGAAGCAAUGAUCUUUAUUUGUGGAAUGAACAUCAUUGAGCCUGAGUGGACGAGUCUAAAAAGUAUCUUGCUACAAAGAAAGCUAUGGAUGUUGUUGGAAUCAGCUCUGAUGAACAGGUGCUCAUAAAAUGGUCACAAACAGGUUAUAUCUCGAUGUUUGGUAUAUGAAUAUCUACGAAAGCUGUGAUGAAUGAGUACAUUAAAUUUGCAUGAUAAGCUCAGAUGAUAAGCUCGCUCAGAGAUUAAGGAGUACGUGUGAGCCUAAAGUUGAUGCCGACUCAUUUCAUUGCAUAUUCAUGACAUCUCAGGUUGUAUCUUGAUGUUUGGUAUACGAAUAUCUAUGAAGGCUGUGAUGAAUGAGUACAUUAAAUUCGCAUGAUAAGCUCACCCAGAGAUUAAGGAAUAUGUGUGAGCCUAAACUUGAUGCAAGGUGGGUUGAAAUGUGAGCCUAAACUUGCAUAUUCAUGACAUCUCAGGUAUUUCCAUUUAUCAUAUAGAUCUGAAAGUGUAUGGGUUGAAAUGUGUCAUGUUUUUGGGUCGAUUCAAGGUGGGUUGAAUCAUAUUGAUUUGACCCGCAUACAUUUCUUUAUCAUACAUUUUUUGUAAUUUUUUAAUGGUGUUAAUUAUAUACUAAAAGCUAAUUUUCAAGGUGUUGAUUAAUUGUAAUUUUUAAUGGUGUUGAUUUGAUAACUUUCUUUAU